UACGUAGGGGGCAAGCGUUGUCCGGAUUUAUUGGGCGUAAAGCGCGUGUAGGCGGCUCGGUAAGUCCGCUCUGAAAGUCCGGGGCUCAACCCCGGGAGGCGGGUGGAUACUGUCGAGCUCGAGUCCGGAAGAGGCGAGUGGAAUUCCUGGUGUAGCGGUGAAAUGCGCAGAUAUCAGGAGGAACACCGAUGGCGAAGGCAGCUCGCUGGGACGUGACUGACGCUGAGACGCGAAAGCGUGGGGAGCAAACAGG
rnacentral:rRNA from 1 species